GACGAACGCUGGCGGCGUGCUUAACACAUGCAAGUCGAACGGAAAGGCUCCAGCUUGCUGGAGUACUCGAGUGGCGAACGGGUGAGUAACACGUGGGCAAUCUGCCCUGCACUCUGGGAUAAGCCUGGGAAACUGGGUCUAAUACUGGAUAGGGCCUUUCUCCUCAUGGGGUUUGGUGGAAAGUUUUUCGGUGCAGGAUGAGCCCGCGGCCUAUCAGCUUGUUGGUGGGGUAAUGGCCUACCAAGGCGACGACGGGUAGCCGGCCUGAGAGGGUGAUCGGCCACAUUGGGACUGAGAUACGGCCCAGACUCCUACGGGAGGCAGCAGUGGGGAAUAUUGCACAAUGGGCGGAAGCCUGAUGCAGCGACGCCGCGUGAGGGAUGACGGCCUUCGGGUUGUAAACCUCUUUCAGUAGGGACGAAGCGUAAGUGACGGUACCUGCAGAAGAAGCACCGGCUAACUACGUGCCAGCAGCCGCGGUAAUACGUAGGGUGCGAGCGUUGUCCGGAAUUACUGGGCGUAAAGAGCUCGUAGGCGGUUUGUCACGUCGUCUGUGAAAUCCUAGGGCUUAACCCUGGACGUGCAGGCGAUACGGGCUGACUUGAGUACUACAGGGGAGACUGGAAUUUCUGGCGUAGCGGUGGAAUGCACAGAUAUCAGGAAGAACACCGAUGGCGAAGGCAGGUCUCUGGGUAGUAACUGACGCUGAGGAGCGAAAGCAUGGGUAGCGAACAG
rnacentral:rRNA from 1 species